rnacentral:rRNA from 1 species
UUCGGGAACCGUGAGACAGGUGCUGCAUGGCUGUCGUCAGCUCGUGUCGUGAGAUGUUGGGUUAAGUCCCGCAACGAGCGCAACCCCCAUCAUUAGUUGCCAUCAGGUAAAGCUGGGAACUCUAGUGAAACUGCCGUCGUAAGACGCGAGGAAGGAGGGGAUGAUGUCAAGUCAUCAUGGCCUUUAUGCCCAGGGCUACACACGUGCUACAAUGGGGAGGACAAAGGGCUGCCACUUGGCAACAAGGCGCUAAUCCCAAAAACCUCCUCUCAGUUCAGAUUGGAGUCUGCAACUCGACUCCAUGAAGCUGGAAUCGCUAGUAAUCGUAGAUCAGCAACGCUACGGUGAAUACGUUCCCGGACCUUGCACACACCGCCCGUCAAGCCAUGGAAGCCGGGUGUACCUAAAGUCGGUAACCGCAAGGAGCCGCCUAGGGUAAAACUGGUGACUGGGGCUAAGUCGUAACAAGGUAACC